UCUGUCUCUCUGUCUCUCUGUCUCUCUCUCUCUUUCUCGCUCUCUCGCUCUCUCCAAUUCCUGGCCAUGAGCUGCAAGGCCUGGUCUUCUGCUUCUCCCACCCUAAUGAUUGCUGUCACCAUGGCUUGGGCCAAUCAAGCCAAUCAAGUAUUGACUAGACUUUCCAAAACUGGGAGCUUUAAGCUUUGAUUCCUACUAAGCUGACAUAUAUCAAUUAUCCUGUUACAGUCAUGACUUAAAUUGCAGAGAUUAAUUUUGAGGACUUAGCAUUUACCUUAUCCAACAUAAGAAAGAAAUUAGAAGAUUGGAUGCUGUCAUUUGAAAUUAUGGAAGCACAGAGAGUUCACAAGAGUUAAAGCAUCUCAAAUGAAGACCAACUCUAUUAGUGCCUUUCGAGGCCACAGGGAUGCCCAGGUCAAGUAUGAAAAAGGAGUAUCCUUUUGAGAGAGAGGAGGAGAGGGUGUGGGUCAGCAGUCCACAUCAGCUUCCAUGAUUGGAGGACGUGGGGAACAUUCAAGGUGCCAUGGCUGUAGAAAAAUGAUGUGGCCUUUGAGUGUUCGUAUCAGUGAGCCUGGAGGCUGAUGUCCACCAGAUGUGCCAUCAAGCAGCCAUGUUCCCUACCAAAACUCCAAUGCAACCUCUGAACUUUGAGCUGUGGAGUGAGAUUCAGGACAUCAUUGGCAUGAAAUUAAGACUUUCAGCUCACUAUGGAGAGAAAAAUGGAAGUUCUAGGUUCAAAACUCCCCAGACUCCACACAACCAAAGCCCUUCUUUGACAGAGUCCAUCUGCAUGCUUUCUGUGUAAUAAACUCACCGUGACUUUAA